rnacentral:sRNA from 1 species
AAAAUGGCUGCUAACCUAGUCUUUGUAGCUGCUUAGGCAGCAAGUAUGCCAGUGAGGAGACUUGUCACAUGCAUCAGGACCAGAGAUUCAGAAUGGACAGUUUAGAAGAACCUCAGAAAAAAGUCUUUAAGGCUCGAAAAACGAUGAGAGUGAGUGAUCGUCAGCAACUUGAAGCAGUGUACAAGGUCAAAGAAGAACUGUUGAAAACUGAUGUCAAGCUGUUAAAUGGCAACCAUGAAAAUGGAGAUUUGGACCCAACCUCACCUUUGGAAAAUAUGGAUUACAUUAAAGACAAGGAAGAGGUGAAUGGCAUUGAAGAGAUUUGUUUUGAUCCUGAAGGAAGUAAAGCAGAAUGGAAAGAAACACCCUGUAUCCUAAGUGUUAAUGUAAAAAACAAGCAGGAUGAUGAUUUAAAUUGUGAACCUUUGUCUCCCCAUAAUAUAACUUCAGAACCAGACUCUAAACUGACUGCUGAACCAGUUUCUGGUGAUCCAGCCCCUGGUGAUCUGGAUGCCGGAGAUCCAGCCUCCGGAGUACUGGCCUCUGGUGAUUCCACCUCUGGUGAUCCCACCUCUAGCGAGCCCUCCUCUAGUGAUGCUGCCUCUGGUGAUGCAACCUCUGGUGAUGCCGCUUCUGGUGAUGUGUCCCCUGGUGAUGCCACCUCUGGUGAUGCCACUGCUGAUGAUCUCUCCUCUGGUGAUCCCACCUCUAGUGAUCCCAUCCCAGGUGAACUGGUCCCUGUUGAACCCAUUUCUGGUGAUUGUGUCGCUGAUGAUAUAGCCUCUAGUGAAAUAACUUCUGUUGAUCUGGCUUCUGGAGCACCAACUUCCACUGAUCCAGGCUCUGAUGAUCUGGCCCCUGGUGAUCUAUCCUCUAGUGAACUGGCCUCUGAUGAUCUGGCCACUGGUGAACUGGCCUCUGAUGAGCUGACUUCUGAAUCAACCUUCGAUCGUACCUUUGAACCAAAUUCUGUACCAGUUUGUGAACCAGUUCCUGAAAUUGACAAUAUAGAACCAAGUAGCAAUAAAGAUGAUGAUUUUCUUGAAAAAAAUGGGGCUGAUGAAAAAUUAGAGCAAAUUCAGAGUAAAGACUCAUUGAACGAGAAAAAUAAAGCUGAUAAUAAUAUUGAUGCUAAUGAAGAAACUCCAGAAACAGAUGAUACAACUAUUUGUUCAGAUCGACCUCCUGAAAAUGAAAAGAAGGUAGAGGAAGGUAAUAUCACAGAGCUUGCUCUUGGAGAAGAUGCUAUAUCUAGCAGUAUGGAAAUUGACCAAGGUGAAAAGAAUGAAGAUGAAACUUCUGCAGAUCUUGUAGAAACGAUUAAUGAAAAUGUUAUUGAAGAUGACAAAAGUGAGAAUAUCUUAGAAAAUACAGACUCUAUGGAGACAGAUGAAAUCAUUCCUAUUUUGGAAAAGCUCGCACCUUCUGAGGAUGAACUUACUUGCUUUUCUAAAACAUCUCUCCUUCCAAUCGAUGAGACAAAUCCAGAUUUGGAAGAGAAAAUGGAAAGUUCUUUUGGUUCACCAUCUAAACAAGAAAGUAGUGAGAGUUUGCCAAAAGAAGCCUUUCUGGUCCUCUCUGAUGAAGAAGAUAUUUCAGGUGAAAAAGAUGAGUCUGAAGUUAUAUCGCAAAAUGAAAUGUGCUCUCCAGCAGAAACAGAAAGUAAUGAAAAAGACAACAAACCUGAGGAAGAAGAGCAAGUAAUACAUGAAGAAGAUGAAAGACCUUCUGAGAAAAAUGAAUUUUCUAGACGAAAACGUUCUAAAUCAGAAGACAUGGACAAUGUACAGUCUAAACGUCGUCGAUAUAUGGAAGAAGAAUAUGAGGCAGAAUUUCAAGUAAAGAUUACAGCCAAAGGGGACAUUAACCAGAAACUUCAAAAGGUUAUACAGUGGUUGCUGGAAGAAAAAUUGUGUGCACUGCAGUGUGCUGUAUUUGAUAAGACUUUGGCAGAAUUGAAAACACGAGUGGAAAAGAUUGAAUGUAACAAGAGGCAUAAAACAGUUCUCACUGAACUACAGGCCAAGAUAGCCAGGUUAACCAAACGCUUUGAAGCAGCCAAAGAAGAUCUUAAGAAAAGACAUGAACAUCCACCCAACCCACCAGUAUCACCAGGAAAAACUGUAAAUGAUAUCAACAGCAAUAAUAACAUGUCUUACAGUAUCUUCAACCAAUCUUGUCACUCCUCCAGCAGUUGUCAGUAGUCAACCUAAAUUGCAGACUCCAGUGACUUCGGGUUCCCUUACAGCAACGUCAGUUCUUCCUGCACCCAAUACAGCUGCUGUAGUUGCUACUACUCAGGUGCCUAGUGGAAAUCCCCAGCCUACAAUCUCUUUACAACCUUUGCCAGUGAUUUUGCAUGUACCUGUUGCAGUAUCCUCCCAGCCUCAGCUUCUACAGAGCCAUCCAGGGACUUUGGUGACUAAUCAACCAUCUGGCAACGUUGAAUUCAUUUCUGUGCAAAGCCCACCUACAGUGAGUGGUCUUACCAAAAAUCCAGUAUCCUUGCCAUCCUUGCCAAAUCCCACUAAACCAAACAACGUUCCUUCUGUGCCCAGUCCUAGUAUUCAAAGGAACCCUACUGCCAGUGCUGCACCAUUGGGAACAACACUUGCUGUGCAGGCUGUUCCAACGGCACACUCUAUUGUACAAGCCACAAGGACUUCUUUACCCACAGUGGGCCCAUCA